UGCGGUUGGCUCAAGCAGUGCAUCAAUAGCACAACCACCUAGUACUGCAGUUGCUCCUUCAGGUGAUCCAGCAUGGAAGUACUGCUCGAUACCAGAUAUUAGCAAAAAGGCAUCUUUGAAACGCAAGUUCUGCAAUGGUGUGUACACCUUGCCUCUGCAACCAUGUUCCAAGUGAUGUAAAAGAAGAGAUGAGGCAGUUGCUUUCAAAGAAGGAUGAGGCAAAGGAAGAGAAGGCCAGGGAAAUGGCACUACGUUGAGGAUAUGUGAAUUUGAACAAUUCUGAUGCGUCAGGUGAUGAAGGCGACAUCUUGAGUCGGCAUGACGGGGUGCUUUCUUCUGUGAGAGUCCAGAGUAAGAAAGGUACAGAAACUUGUUGUUCUUAUGGAAUUAUGGAUAAAUUCUGCACAAAAACACCUGAGGAGAUUGUAGCUGCAAGGAAGAGCAACGGGUACUCUUCAAAGGUCCAAUCGAAGUUGACCACUCAGAAAAAUGAAGAGAGGAGGGAGGUUGCUUGUGAGUAUAUAUGCCAGUUCUUCUAUGAAGCAGGCAUUGCACACAACACAGUCCUGCUUCCAAGCUUUGACAUGAUGGUUGAAGCCAUUGGAGCAUAUGGCAGAGGCUUGAAAGGCCCUUCUCCAUACGAAAUGGGAGGCCCUUUCUUGCAGAAGAGUCAGAAGAAAGUGCAAGAUGUCUUUGCUGGACAUAAAGAAUCAUGGCAACUCACUGGUUGUACUGUGAUGACAGAUGUAUGGACAGAUAAAAGAGGAAGAGGGGUAAUGAAUUUGGUGGUUCACAGUGCUUAUGGUGUGGUGUUCCUUGAUUCUGUGGAUUGUUCAGAUGCGAGGAAAGAUGGCAAGUAAAUAUUUGAGCUUGUUGAUAGGUGCAUAGAGGAAAUUGGGGAGAAGAAUGUUGUUCAAGUGGUGACUGAAAGCAAAGCGCCCCAAAUUUUUUUGGAAUGGUUGUGCAGCCCACACCAUUUUUUUGACUGAAAACUGUAGGAGUGUAUAUAUAUAUAUAUACAUAGAAAAAGAUAUAAACACAUACAAGCAAGGUUACAGGGGGGGACACAUCAGAAGAGAGAAAGAAACAAACCCUGUCAAGACACAGAGGCAAGAGAGACAAGCCAAAACAUUCGCAGUUGCUGCAGCCCACACCAUUGACCUGAUGCUAGAGGACAUAGGAAAAUCGCCAUUGGUCGACCAAACAAUUGUGAAAGGGAGAGCAGUGACUGUGUUUCUUUAUGCUCACACAAGAGUCUUGGCAUUGAUGAGAAAAUUCUUAGUGGUCUUGUAUUACCAGGUUUGCAACAGCAUAUCUAAAUUUGAAGAGCUUGCAGGACAACAAGAAAGAAUUGCAGAAGCUGUUCAGGGGAUCUGCGUGAUGUUGCCCUUGGCUAUGACACCAUUUCUCGGUAUGUUGCAAGAGUGAACUGGUUUGCUCUACUUGGAGUUGUACUGUGCUCAAGAUUUGAGAAAGCAAAACCGAAGGCGCAGAUUGCAUAAGUUAAUUACAGGAGGGUCAGGAUCUAGCUGCCAAUUCAUAGGGGAAAAUGUAUUUAAAUUUCCCUAAUGGAUAUUUAAUAUUCCUGUUGGAAAUUAGGUAUUUAUGCUAGCAUUGUUACUGAAGCUAUCUCCGUGCUAGAGAGUCAGCUGGCAUGGUCAUCCGCCCUCUCCCUUUGUUUCAUCUAACAAAAACUUGGAGACGUGAGCUUUGAGAGGAUUACGAAGGAACCCAACUUCAUGUAAUAAUUUACUUUCCCUCCGAAGGUUAAUUGUUAGCUUGGUUCUUCUACUGUGUAUGAUUUAGUUUUUCAAACCAAUGCAGAGAAAUAUUUUAAGUA